UUUAAAGGUUUCUAUUUAAUUUCAUUUUAUUUCAGCAGCAUACAUUCACAAAUCACUCAGUUUAACAAUUCUCAAUAACAAAUAUCCCACCCCGCUGGCCUGGUGGCGGAGGCGAAGCACAGUUACCCACUCCGGACCUCUGAUCAUGUCGCUGCAAGGGUCGAGGAGCUUUCGGGUUGUGGCCUACAGCCUGCGCACCGCCCUGGCCUCUGCUCACUGCGCACCGGAUCUGCUUUGCUGUCAGUGCGUAAAUUCACAGAGAAACAUGAAUGGAUAACAACAGAGGAAGGUAUUGGAACAGUGGGAAUCAGCAAUUUUGCACAGGAAGCUUUGGAAGAUGUUGUUUACUGUAGUCUGCCUGAAGUUGGGACAAAAUUGAGAAAAAAAACAAGAGGAGUUUGGUGCUUUGGAGAGUGUGAAGGCUGCCAGUGAGCUCUCCUCACCUUUGUCAGGAGAGGUAACUGAAGUCAGUGAAGCCAUUGCCGAAGACCCAGGGCUCGUCAACAAAUCCUGUUACAAAGAUGGUUGGCUGAUCAAGAUGACACUGAGCGACCCUUCAGAGCUAGAUGAAUGAUGAGUGAAGAAGCAUAUGAGAAAUAUGUGAAGACCAUGGCACCCCUCCACUCCAGAUCAAACUGGAUGUGACCUGCUCCAGCAUGCUUGUCUUAAACUAGUGGAGAGUAGAGGACUUGAAAUAACUUUUAGCAAUACUGAUGGAAAGAAACUGUUCUUGACAGUGCUACUUAAGAGCCACCCCCAACUUCCUAAAGGAUGCAGAUAAACACAGUGUACAGAUUUUUGAUAAUUGCCAUACUAAGUAUUUAGACUAGGAGUUAAGCCCUGGUGUUUAGAAUUCUUAAGAUCAUCUGCGGUGAAAAGUGGUUAUGAGGCUGGGUUUGGUGACAGACCACCUUCUAAUCCCAGCACUCAACAGGCAGAUGUUAGUUCAAGGUUGGUCUACACAACAAGUUCUAAACCAGCCACUGCUACAUGGUGAGACCCUACCUACUGGUUAUAAGACUUUCAUAAGUCAAUAUAAUAAUAUAUCUAAGAUAUAUAAAUUAUCUUAGAUAAUUUUGUUACUUGCCCAUAUCCACCACUGGAUUUGGGUCAGAGACUUAGUGUCUUCUCAUUGGAAAUGCAGGGAAGUAUUCUACAAUGUCAGAGGCGGGAGAAUACUGUCUUUGUUUCACCAUGUGCUGUGUUGGCUGUUGUUUUCCCACAGUGAAGCACCGGCUUUGCAACACUGAGAAACAAAUAAAACAUUCAUCCUCUUUGAUUGAGAUAU